AAACCGUGAUGGGGGCACUGAGUGGUGCAGCUUUUAAACCUCUCCCAAGCUUCCUAGAAAGUUUCCUUGUUUUUCUUGUUAAAACGUGAGAUCUUGUUCCUCAAUCU
rfam:Arabidopsis thaliana chromosome 4, complete sequence.